rnacentral:rRNA from 1 species
AGGAUGAACGCUGGCGGCGUGCUUAACACAUGCAAGUCGAACGAUGAACCUCACUUGUGGGGGGAUUAGUGGCGAACGGGUGAGUAACACGUGAGUAACCUGCCCUUAACUCUGGGAUAAGCCUGGGAAACUGGGUCUAAUACCGGAUAUGACCUGUCACCGCAUGGUGGUGGGUGGAAAGAUUUUUGGUUUUGGAUGGACUCGCGGCCUAUCAGCUUGUUGGUGAGGUAAUGGCUCACCAAGGCGACGACGGGUAGCCGGCCUGAGAGGGUGACCGGCCACACUGGGACUGAGACACGGCCCAGACUCCUACGGGAGCAGCAGUGGGGAAUAUUGGACAAUGGGCGCAAGCCUGAUCCAGCCAUGCCGCGUGAGUGAUGAAGGCCCUAGGGUUGUAAAGCUCUUUUGUGCGGGAAGAUAAUGACGGUACCGCAAGAAUAAGCCCCGGCUAACUUCGUGCCAGCAGCCGCGGU